AUUGAACGCUGGCGGCAUGCUUUACACAUGCAAGUCGGACGGCAGCACAGAGAAGCUUGCUUCUUGGGUGGCGAGUGGCGAACGGGUGAGUAAUAUAUCGGAACGUACCGAGUAAUGGGGGAUAACUAAUCGAAAGAUUAGCUAAUACCGCAUAUUCUCUGAGGAGGAAAGCAGGGGACCUUCGGGCCUUGCGUUAUUCGAGCGGCCGAUAUCUGAUUAGCUAGUUGGUGGGGUAAAGGCCUACCAAGGCGACGAUCAGUAGCGGGUCUGAGAGGAUGAUACGCCACACUGGGACUGAGACACGGCCCAGACUCCUACGGGAGGCAGCAGUGGGGAAUUUUGGACAAUGGGCGCAAGCCUGAUCCAGCCAUGCCGCGUGUCUGAAGAAGGCCUUCGGGUUGUAAAGGACUUUUGUCAGGGAAGAAAAGGCUGUUGCUAAUACCGACAGCUGAUGACGGUACCUGAAGAAUAAGCACCGGCUAACUACGUG
rnacentral:rRNA from 1 species